CAAAAGGUAGUGCCAGAGAGGAGUAUCUAUUACCCCUUAUCAGAGAGAAAGAUUCAUUGGCUGUAAGAUCUUUUUAAGGAAAGGAUAGAGAAGGUAGCUCUGAAACCGGAGUCCCGAAGUAUUUAUAUAAAAGUAUUUAUAUAGAAGUAAGGAUUCACGUUUCGUCCACGUUAUCGGACAGGAUUUUGAUAGAGAUCCUAUAAGAGGAACAAUUUAUUGUUUGAACAAAGGUGGUACCGCGUUAAUACGCCCUUUGC
rnacentral:ncRNA from 1 species